AACGAACGCUGGCGGCAGGCCUAACACAUGCAAGUCGAGCGGACCCUUCGGGGUUAGCGGCGGACGGGUGAGUAACGCGUGGGAACGUGCCCUUUGCUUCGGAAUAGCCCUGGGAAACUGGGAGUAAUACCGGAUACGCCCUUUUGGGGAAAGAUUUAUCGGCGAAGGAUCGGCCCGCGUUGGAUUAGGUAGUUGGUGGGGUAAUGGCCUACCAAGCCGACGAUCCAUAGCUGGGUUGAGAGGAUGAUCAGCCACACUGGGACUGAGACACGGCCCAGACUCCUACGGGAGGCAGCAGUGGGGAAUCUUAGACAAUGGGGGAAACCCUGAUCUAGCCAUGCCGCGUGAGCGAUGAAGGCCUUAGGGUUGUAAAGCUCUUUCACCGGGGAAGAUAAUGACGGUACCCGGAGAAGAAGCCCCGGCUAACUCCGUG
rnacentral:rRNA from 1 species